rnacentral:lncRNA from 1 species
CCUCUUGUGAUGUCACAGUGAUCACUCAUAUUUUGUUGUUGUUCUCUUUGAAGCUGCGUAGGCCUUACGUCGAACGCCACUUCCCUCUCCUAACACGCAACUUCAUAAAACAUUAAUACUCUACGCGCGUGUCGGGACGAAUCUCCACCUUCCGAUCAAAACCAGACAACGGUUUAUAGAAAAAGCGUAGAUGCGUAGUUACAUACGAUGAUGGGUCCAGGUGAUCUUGGGCCACUGGUUUAUAAAAUGCGGGACAACGUCGGGUGGUACCAAGAAUUGACACGUUGUCCUUAUAAACCAAACCGACAAAAACAAAAGUCGGAGUCUCGGAGAUACAUGCAUAUCGCUGGCAUUAAAACUUUAAAAGACCAAACCCAAUCGCCUAAUCAAUGUUAUUUAACCAAUAAUCGUGAUUAAUUAAUCAAAUUAAGAAAUUUCUAAAGAUAAUGUACUAUGUUUUGUCGGU